AUCGAACGCUGGCGGCAGGCUUAACACAUGCAAGUCGAGCGGAGCGGAGGACGGGCGAGUAAUACUUAGGAAUCUGGCUAUUAGUGGGGGACAACAUUUCGAAAGGGAUGCUAAUACCGCAUACCAAUAGAUGAGCCUAAGUCGGAUUAGCUAGUUGGUGGGGUAAAGGCCUACCAAGGCGACGAUCUGUAGCGGGUCUGAGAGGAUGAUCCGCCAAACUGGGACUGAGACACGGCCCUGACUCCUACGGGAGGCAGCAGUAGGGAAUAUUGGACAAUGGGGGAAACCCUGAUCCAGCCAUGCCGCGUGUGUGAAGAAGGCCUUAUGGUUGUAAAGCACUUUAAGCGAGGAGGCGUUACUCGCAGAGUAAGCACCGGCUAACUCUGUGCCAGCAGCCGCGGUAAUUC
rnacentral:rRNA from 1 species